UUCAACACAAUAUAAUUCACUACAUUAUUUUGUAUUUAUACAUUGCUUUAUAAAAUAAAAAAUUAUAAUAUAUGAAUCAUUUUGAUUUUGGAGACAUUGUUUUGAUCAUGAUCCUCUCGGGUUUGGCAGUAGACUUUGGUUUCAUCAGGUGGAGAGCUGGAAUCUUCAAGUUUUGGGUCCUCUUCAUUUGGAUUUGCUACACUCAUGGAAUUCUCAAAUCUCCAAUCUACAAAGAAUUCAAAAUAUCUCUGCUAAAAAUAUAUAUACAUGUACAUAAUUGAUAAAGUGACCAAUAAGCAAACUGCAGUACAGAAAUUGAUCUUUUUUUUUUUUUUUUUUUUGAUAACAACUCUCAUUCAUUCAUAACAUAGAGUCAUCUAGAGAAUUACAAGCUGGCCUCAUGCCAAACAAUUUGGGAAAUACACUCGGGAAUUGAUUCCCACCAAACUGUUAAAUCCUCUACAAAUCUUGCUAAUUUUGCUAGACCAUCAGCUGCUGCAUUGUGCACUCUGCCGGCAUGUUGGAAUGUCACCUUUGGUAGCUGUUUAGAGAGGCUGAGUAUGGAAUAGAUCAGGUUACCAUGGGGAGACAUGGACUCCUCCUCUGCUGUUAAGGCUCUUACACUGAGCAUUGAGUCUGUUUCCACAAUCAACUCGCCAAUGCCCAACGGGAUACACAGCUGUAGCCCCCUCAGGAUGGCAAGAAGCUCCACUUCCAUAGGGUCAGAGAACUCAGGUUCUUUUUUACACGCAGCCAGAAUUACCUUUCCUUUUUCAUCUCUCAAAAUAACUCCCACACCUGAGGUACAGCAUCCCUGAAACAUAGCCCCAUCCGUGUUGAUUUUUAGAGCUCCUAUAGGGGGGUUUCCACCUCAUAUCCCUUACCAUGUUCUGUUUAGUGCUGGCUUGAGCUUCUCGAGACUCCUUAAACAAAGACAUGGCAUGAUCCACAAACUGUUGUGGGUGCUGAACCUGCUCUUCAAAGUAAAAAAGGUUCCUUCUAUACCAAAAGGACCAGGCCAUAAGAAAAAACUUCUCAAGAUCUCUUGGCUGCCCUUCCUUUGUCACUCUCAUGGCUAUCUCCAUAAACCCCUGCUGGUUUCCUCCCCGAAAUAAAAAACCAAACAAAGACUUCCAUAAGGGUAAAAUGGAUGGGCAAUAUAUCAGUGCAUGACUUGUGUCUUCCCUUUCCUCAUGGCAGAACUUGCAGGUAUCUUCAGAAACAACCUUCCUGACCCUCAGGUUUUGCAAGGUGGGCAGUCCAUGCUUGCAUGCUCUCCAAGAGAAGACUCUAACCCUGUGUGGUAUUGGCAUUGACCAUAACUGCUUCCAGAAUCCCCGCAGUGCCUGAUAGUUUGAGCAACCCCCUUCUACCCUAUGGUUCUUUAUAGCCCAGAACAGCCUAUAAGCACUCCUCACUGUGUAUUCUCCUGAGUUUUCAUAGUGCCAUAUGAGCUUAUCCUCUCUAGGUGAAGGUCCUAGGGGAAUCCUCAGAACAUCAGAAGCUUCUCUUGGAGGGAGAGUUCUCCUAACUAUCUCAGCAUCCCACCAACCUGUCUCCCCAUCAAUCAAUUGUGCAACACGUUGACAACUGCUUCUACUUUCUUGAUAUAGGCCUAAAGGGGUUUGACUCUGUCCUGGUAGCCAGAUAUCAGUCCAGAUAUUUAUGGACUCCCCAUCCCCUACUCGCCACCUGCAUCCCUUCACCAUUAGUCUUGUAGCUUCCCAUAUCCCUCUCCAUGCAUAUGAUGGGGCAUUUCCCAACUGUGCGUACUGGAUGCAUGAAUUGGGGAAGUACUUGGACUUGUAGAUUCUAUGGAGGAGAGAAGACUUUUCAUUCAUUAUCCUCCAUGCUUGCUUAGCUAAUAGGGCCAUAUUGAAACUAUGCAGGUCCUUAAACCCCAUUCCCCCAUCUUGCUUAGGAGCACACAUUUUUGUCCAGCUCACCCACCUGAUUUUGUUUUCCUCCCUCCUUUGGCCCCACCAAAACUUUGCCAUCAUAUUCUCUAGCUCUUUACACAAACUUUCAGGUAACUUGAAGCAACUCAUAGAGUAUGAAGGGAUUGAUAGUGCUACUGCUUUAAUUAGUAUUUCCUUCCCCCCUUGUGAGAGUAGCCUCUCCUUCCAUCCUUGAAGCUUCUUCCAAACCCUGCUCUUGAUAUUUGCAAAGGCCCUUUUCUUUGAUCUUCCUACCACUGAUGGGAGGCCAAGGUACUUUUCAUACUUCUGAGCCUGCUGUAUCCCCCAAGAUGCCAUAAUUUCCUGCUGCAAUUGGGGGUUAACAUUGGUGCUAAAAACCAUUGCUGUCUUCUCUUUAUUAACUUUCUGACCCGAUGCCAGUUCAUACUCCUUUAGAAGUUGGUGGAUAUGUGCAUUAGUUUGCAAAGUGGCCCUGCAAAAAAACAAACUAUCAUCUGCAAAGAGGAGGUUGUUGAUCCUUGGGCUGCCUCUACAGAUUUUUACUCCUUCCACCAGCUUGUUCUCCUCUGCUUGUCUUAGCAUAGCUAUCAACCCUUUAGUGCACAGAAGAAAGAGAUAAGGGGAGAGGGGAUCCCCUUGCCUCAGACCUCUCGAGGGCUUGAUAGGGCCCUUUGGACUACCAUUCACAAUAAUAGAGUAUGUAACAGUCUGCACACAGCACAUUACAAGCUUUCUCCACCUUUCAUUGAACCCCAUCUUGCCCAUUAUAUUAUCUAGGAAUCCCCACUCCACUCUAUCGUAUGCUUUGCUCAUAUCCAAUUUGAGUGACAUAUACCCUUUCUUCCCUUUCCUUUUCUGUCUUAAGUAAUGGACCAAUUCAUAAGCAACUAGAACAUUGUCUGUAAUUAGUCUCCCGGGUACAAAGGCUGAUUGAGACAAGGAUAUAACCUGAGGCAGGACUUAUUUUAGCCUAUUGGAGAGGACUUUGGAUAUAAGCUUGUAGGCAACAUUGCACAGACUGAUUGGUCUGUAUUCUGCUACUGUUUCUGGUUUAUCCUUCUUAGGAAUUAAAACAAUGUGUGUGUGGUUAAGUUCAGCUGGGAAGACCCCUUCAUUUAGUACUUUCAGCACAGCCUCGGUGACAUCCUUUCCUACCACAGUCCAGUACUUUUGGUAAAAUAAAGGGGGCAUGCCAUCAGGUCCAGGGGCUUUGGAUGGUUCCAUCUGGUUUAGAGCCUGAAACACUUCUUCUUCUGAAUACUGCUGCAUCAGAACCUCAUUCAUUCCUUCAGUUACACAAGCCUGCAGAUUAUCUAGGAAUCCCACUUGUUCUUGAUGGCCUGAAGAUGUGAAAAUGGUUUGAAAUUAAUCCAUGAUGAUUUGAUCCCUUUCUUCUCCCUCCUGCCAGGUAUUAUUGCUAUCUCUUACUCCUUUAAUAUAAUUUCUUUUCUGUCUUUGAGAAGCUUUUCUAUGAAAAAACCUUGUGUUCUUGUCCCCCUCCUUUAACCAUAAUGCCUUCGAUCUCUGCCUCCACAUGAUUUCAUCUCUUUCCAACCAAGUUUGCACCUCAGCCUUUGCUUGCUUGUGCUCUUCUAUUCUCAGGCAUCUUGGAUCAGUUUGGUACAGCAGGUUCAUCUUGUCUCGGGCCUUAGCAAUAUGUCUCUUCACGUGACCAAAGCUGCUCUUAUUCCACUGCUGGAGCCUCUCCCCACAGCCCUUUAUCUUCUUCAUAAGUGAAGAGAUGUCCUUGUCCCCUCCCUCUAGGUUCCAAGUAGAAGACACCACCUGCUUGCAUCCUUCUGUCUCAGUCCACAUGGCCUCAAACCUGAAUCCAGGUCCUCUACUACUCAGAUUGGGAUCGACUUGGGGUUUCAAUAUAACAGCAAGGUGGUCCGAGUAGGCAAUUGGCAGAUGAACAACAUGCCACAUAGCAAAUUUGGAGCUCCACUCUUGAUUAGCACAAAAUCUAUCUAGCCUUUCUGACACACUGUGUUCUUCCUGCCUCCCAUUCCACCAUGUGAAUUGAGGUCCACAGAACCCCAGAUCCAAUAACCUGCACUCAACCAGCAUGUCACUAAAAUCCUCCAUCUGCCACUCAGGUCUGCUUCUUCCUCCCCUCUUCUCCCCCAUAUGCAAAAUUUCAUUAAAAUCCCCCAUUACAAGCCAAGCACAACCUGCUGGUACCAUUAGGGACUUUAUUAAUGACCAUGUUUCAUGUCUUCUUGCAGCUUCUGGGUGACCAUACACUCCAGUCAAGUACCAGACAGCUUCCCCUUCCCCUUGCAAUUUAAUUUCAGCAUGGAUAUGAGACUUUGAAUAUUGGGUAAUCUUAAGAUCAAUACUGUUUUUCCAUAAGAGAGCAAUGCCUCCCCCUCCUCUGUCAUUACUCACUGCUAAACAGUUUGGAAAACCUAAGAUAUACUUAAUUUUCUCCAUUCUAGUAACACUCAAUCUUGUCUCUUGUAGAAACAGGAUUGUGGGAUCUUCCCUUCGAGUCAAGUCUCGAAGUGCUCGAACUCCCCGUGGGUUCCCAAGCCCACGUGAGUUCCAACUGAUGAGUCUCAUUGAUCUUGGUGGGGCUGUAAACCAGCCUCCACCAUGUUUGUGUGUUCAUUGCUUUCAGGCCCCUCAUUCUCAAUCUUUAUUUUUUUGUUCUUACCAUGGUUUGCAGAGGAUGCUGCAAUUCUUUUACUUCUCUUUAAAAUUGGACUUUUGGCUCUCUUUUUGCUGUAUGAUACCCCUGAUGGGUUUCCUCCCAAUCCUGGUGAAAAGUUCUCAGUUUUCAGAUUUCUUUCUUGUCUUCUCCAUGUAGGAUCCUUCUUUGGUUGAUUCAGUGCUUUUAGUUGGUCAGACAGGAAACUCUCAAUGGAAUGAAUCUGUGUAACUAAGUCAGUUGAGAUCUCCGUACCAGUUAUCCCAUGUUGUACUGCCUCUUUAGCUGUCAGUGGAGUGUGUGCUAUUCCUGUAGGCCUUGUCUGCUCAUCGAGCCCCCUUUCUAGUUUUUCAUGGGGUACAUUUGGAGGGUUUAGUGGAGGAACUCCUUUUCCCGCCAGCUUUUGUGUACCAACUUGUCUAGGGAAGUUUCCUUGCCUAGUCAACCUCUCUGCUCCCUGAAAUGGUACGGAAUUACUCCUAAAGUCAAGAGCAAACUAUGAGGCUAAACUAUGAGGAAGUUAUCACAGCUUGGCCCAGCCAACGUUCUCCAUGGACGACAGGAACAUGACCGAAGCUCAAUCCUGACAACUGUUGGCGGAACAUCAUGUUUCCCCCUUUGAAGGAAGGAUUGAAAAGGAACCAAACAAACUGGACAUUUGCUCCAAUGUUACUUCUGAAAUGGACCUCUCAAGAGACAACAAAAGAAGCCAAUAAACAAGGAAAAACUCCAUGUUCCAAAAAGUAGAAGCAAGAAAUAACAGAAAGCAGAAGCAUUUUGUGUUCUUGAAAUCAAAUAUUCUAUGAAUAGCCAUUACACGCAUUAAAACAUCUGAAAGAACAAGCUCGCACUCUGUUAGCACCCAAUAAAUUAUCUUCAGUUUGGUUCGAAUUGUCUAUAUAAAUUAAAGAGGCUGUUUGUGAAUUUCUUUUUAGGAUCGAAUUUUGUAUUAUAUGUUUCAGCUGGAACCGACUUGUACUAUCUAUAUGUUUAUAAGGAGAAUAUCGUAAAUAUUUAAAGAGAUAGGUAGGAGGAAAUAAUGUUCCUAAUCCUAAGCAUGUUAUUUCAA